GUGUCCUGUCCUCCUCAUCUGUUCCAGUGUGGUAGUUUGGAGUGUGUGGACACGUCUCAGCUCUGUAACGGAGUCACUAACUGUCCGGACGGUUCUGAUGAGGGCGGGACGUGCCAGACAGACAAAUGCUCUGAACAGUCAAAGUGUGCACAGGACUGCCAUAGCACACCUACAGGCACGCGCUGUUGGUGCAGGAUCGGCUACAAGCCUGUAGAUGAUGGUGUGGUGUGUGUUGAUGUGGAUGAGUGUGUGGACCAUCCAGACUUCUGUUCACACCACUGUAUCAACACUCAGGGCUCAUUUGAGUGCUCAUGUAGUCACGGCUAUGUUCUGGAACCUGAUGGCCACAGCUGCAAAAUCACAGGUGAGCCGUACCUGCUGGCGUCUGUGCAGCCUGAGGUCUUCCUGCUGGGUCUGAGGAGCUCCAGUCUGGACGUCCUGCUAUCGUCAGAGAAGCAGUUUGUCCUUUCACUUGACUACGACUGGCAGAAGCAGAGAGUGUACUGGAUCAGCCUCGACACAGACCACAUAAAAUGGUUGUCACUGGAUCAGAAGAGCAAAGGAACCUUCAUUAAAGG